rnacentral:rRNA from 1 species
UGGGGAAUUUUCCGCAAUGGGCGAAAGCCUGACGGAGAAUGCCGCGUGGAGGUGGAAGGCCUACGGGUCGUCAACUUCUUUUCUCGGAGAAGAGACAAUGACGGUAUCUGAGGAAUAAGCAUCGGCUAACUCUGUGCCAG